UACGUAGGUGGCAAGCGUUGUUCGGAAUCACUGGGCAUAAAGCGCGCGUAGGCGGCCAUGUAAGUCGGGUGUGAAAGCCCUCGGCUCAACCGAGGAACUGCGCUCGAUACUGCAUGGCUUGAGGUCCGGAGAGGAAAGCGGAAUUCCUGGUGUAGAGGUGAAAUUCGUAGAUAUCAGGAGGAACACCAGUGGCGAAGGCGGCUUUCUGGACGGUAACUGACGCUGAGACGCGAAAGCGUGGGGAGCAAACAGG
rnacentral:rRNA from 1 species